CACUGUAGCUGUCCUCAGACACACCAGAAGAGGUCAUCAGAUCUCAUUACAGAUGGUUGUGAGCCACCAUGUUGUUGCUGGGAUUUGAACUCAGGACCUCUGGAAGAGCAGUCAGUGCUCUUAACCACUGAGCCAUCCCUCCAGCCCCCCUGUUUUCAGUUCUCCUUAUUAGUUUGUGUAUAAAUGUAUUGAUUGUGUGGGGAGGUGUGUGUAGAGGACAACUUGUAGGAGUUGAUUCUCUUCUUCCAGGUCUACUGUGUCGUCACGAUUAGCAGCAAGUGCCUGUGCCUACUGCAUUGUCUCCCCAGCCCUCCUUUUAUGUCUUCUGGGCAAUUUUAAGGAUUUCUCUGUAAUCCUGUACAUGUGAGUGCAAGUACCCAUAGAAGCUAGGGGAGAUGGAGGUGGUCGUGAGCUACCCUGCAUGGAUUCUGGGAACUGAACGUAGGUCUUCUUCAAGAGAAGAACACAUAUAUAUGUUAGCCCCAUAAUUUUAUUUUGAGGUUAAAGAAAGUGAAUCUUAGAAAAAUUCAGUGGAUUCCUGUAUACUUUACCUGUUUGAUCAGUUGCUUAUGCUAAGAAUGUUGACUUUUCAAAAAGUUAAUACUUGCAGAGGAAUGUUAUAUAAAGGUCCUGAAUCGUUUUGAACCUGUAUAUUUGGACAGUCUUAUUUAUAUAAAAUUUGCUCAUAAAAUUACAUAUGGGGGGGGGUUGGGGAUUUAGCUCAGUGGUAGAGCGCUUGCCUAGGAAGCGCAAGGCCCUCGGUUCGGUCCCCAGCUCCGAAAAAAAAGAACCAAAAAAAAAAAAAAAUU
rnacentral:lncRNA from 1 species